rnacentral:tRNA from 1 species
UCCGGCGUAGCUCAGUUGGUAGAGCAGCUGACUGUUAAUCAGCGGGCCGCUGGUUCGAGUCCAGCCGCCGGAGCCA